rnacentral:tRNA from 1 species
UUGUAAGUGUCGUAAAAAGCGUGUGCGAUUUCGGCUCGCAAAGUGAAUAUUUUUCCUUACUAAAUGCCUUACG